ensembl:lncRNA
GCCGGAAAUUCUUCUGUAGGAGAGAAUGUAAAGAGGAAGAUGUCCUGAUUAAAACUGAUGAGGACACAUCUCAGAACGGCAGAUACAGCGUCCAGUACGAACACAAAUCAGCCCAGAGAGGGUUUCUGACUGUGAACAUCGCUCAGCUGAUCAAGUCCGACUCAGGACGGUACCGAUGUGGUUUGGGCGGAUCCCUGGUUCCUCAGAGAUAUGUGGACUUUGACAUUAAGGUUACUGAUGGCUGGUUCACCACUAUUUACACCAAGUUCCUGCAGUGGAAAAUGACCAGGAACAGUCAUCUGUAAACGUGGAAGGGGAUCUCCAGCAACACUUAUCAGAUGCACCACCAGUAAAUGCUGUAUCUGGAAGACAACAAGAGGCAGCUUUCCACUGGAGGAACUCUGCUGUGCAAGAUUUAACAGUUUGAAG